rnacentral:misc_RNA from 1 species
GUGAGUCAUCGAAUCUUUGAACGCACAUUGCGCCCCUUGGUAUUCCGAGGGGCAUGCCUGUUCGAGCGUCAUUACAACCCUCAAGCACUGCUUGGUAUUGGGCCCCGCUGCUUAACGCCGCGGGCCUUAAAAUCAGUGGCGGCGCCGCUGGGCUCUGAGCGUAGUAAAUUUCCUCGCUACGGAGACCUGGCGGUGGUAGCCACCAACCCCCAACUUUCUAAGUUUGACCUCGGAUCAGGUAGGGAUACCCGCUGAACUUAAGCAUAUCAAUAAGCGGAGGA